GGCCGGCCUGCGGCCCAGUUUCCAGGCCGCCCGCUGCGCUGUUUUUUUUCUUUUUCCUUUUUGAUUAAAAUUGCUUGAUGUUUGAAUUUAUGUUAUAAAUUUUGUAGUGAUCCAAAAAUGAUGAAAAUUUUUGUAUAAAUUCCCUGAAAUAGUUAGAACCCAAGAAAAAUAUUAGGCUCUGUUUUCUGAUAAUUUGCCAGGUUAUGAAAAUUGGCUCUUUUAAUUACCAAAUAAAGCUUUGAUGAAUUUUAAUAAUUUAUUAGUAUGUCCAAAAAUCACCAAAAAUUGUGAGAUGCCUCUGAAUAUUAUUCCCUGGCUCCACACAAAAUUUGGUGGCAUUUGGAUAAUGUUUGUUUAAAAUAUUAAUAAACCCUUAUUUAACACUUAAAUAAUAAUUCCAAAAUAAUUAAAUAGUGAUUAUUU
rnacentral:lncRNA from 1 species